rnacentral:rRNA from 1 species
GACGAACGCUGGCGGCGUGCCUAAUACAUGCAAGUUGAGCGCUGAAGGUUGGUACUUGUACCAACUGGAUGAGCAGCGAACGGGUGAGUAACGCGUGGGGAAUCUGCCUUUGAGCGGGGGACAACAUUUGGAAACGAAUGCUAAUACCGCAUAAAAACUUUAAACACAAGUUUUAAGUUUGAAAGAUGCAAUUGCAUCACUCAAAGAUGAUCCCGCGUUGUAUUAGCUAGUUGGUGAGGUAAAGGCUCACCAAGGCGAUGAUACAUAGCCGACCUGAGAGGGUGAUCGGCCACAGUGGGACUGAGACACGGCCCAAACUCCUACGGGAGGCAGCAGUAGAGAAUCUUCGGCAAUGGACGAAAGUCUGACCGAGCAACGCCGCGUGAGUGAAGAAGGUUUUCGGAUCGUAAAACUCUGUUGGUAGAGAAGAACGUUGGUGAGAGUGGAAAGCUCAUCAAGUGACGGUAACUACCCAGAAAGGGACGGCUAACUACGUG